rnacentral:rRNA from 1 species
AUUGAACGCUGGCGGCAGGCCUAACACAUGCAAGUCGAGCGAGCGGCGGACGGGUGAGUAAUGUCUGGGAAACUGCCUGAUGGAGGGGGAUAACUACUGGAAACGGUAGCUAAUACCGCAUACCAUCAGAUGUGCCCAGAUGGGAUUAGCUAGUAGGUGGGGUAACGGCUCACCUAGGCGACGAUCCCUAGCUGGUCUGAGAGGAUGACCAGCCACACUGAAACUGAGACACGUUCCAGACGCCUACGGCAGCCAGCAGUGGGGAAUAUUGGACAAUGGGCGCAAGCCUGAUGCAGCCAUGCCGCUUGUGUGACGAAGGCCUUCGGGUUGUAAAGCACGUUCAGCGGGGAGGCGUUACCCGCAAAAGAAGCACAGGCUAACUCCAUGCCAGCAGCCGCGGUAAUUC